rnacentral:lncRNA from 1 species
GACAUAAAAGCCUCUCUUUCGCGCAAGAUCGUCAAAUCCUUGAGUGUAGUUGGUGAGAUCUUUCCCUCAUGUGUGUUGGUGUUACAUUUUCGGUAUCUUUUCUACCGACUUCGUUGAGGGAGUCUAUGAGGUCAUUUGAGACAUCUUCUAUCAUCUUCAACCUUGUUUCUUUCUCUGCCAUCAUUAGUUUCUGUGGAGCCUGAAGAACAACGAUCGCUGUUUUUGAUAUCCUAGGUGAGAAAAUAUGAUUUCGACUACCGAAUUCCCCACAGAUCGCGCCAAAUUAUUUGACUCAAAAGUUAUUAAAUACUUUUUAAGCAAUUCAAUCAAAAGAGAUGAAGGGGUAAAUCGUAAUCGAGAAUAAUAAACCUUAGGAUAAUCUUGAUAUUUAGUAGGUUAGUAACAGUAAAAGAGAGAGAAGAAGAAGUAGAGAGAUGAGAGAGCAAGAGAGCUUGCAUAUUAAAAAUUGGCUGCCUAUUACAAGGCUUGGAUCCCCUUUAUAUAAUAGAGGAUCCUUACUUAGUUGUUGGAAUGACAAACCUAAGUACGUCCUAUAAUGGAAUCGAGAAUGGCACGAGGUCGUUUUUCCUCUUAUCCCUGGGCCGUCCCCCUGUAUCGGCUCAUAGAUAUUCGGUAGUCGGUCGUACGGACAUAGAAACGUAAUCGGUCAAAUUCGAUCACAUACAAAAACUAUGACUAUUUUUGAAUGACCACUUAAAAAUCUACCUAUUUUUGAAUUUCUCCCUCUCCAACAUGAUGUUUACUAAUCUCUAUCGAUUACUAAGGAGAGGGGAGAUGAUAAUACUCGGAAUAAAGAAAUAAAAAUAGGACGGACUUAAUUUUUAAUUUGAGUACCUUGCACCUCCUAUUAAAACAAAAUAGUAGUUCUAACAGUCAAUUAUUUGAGAAAGGCUUAUCCCAUAUUUGAUUGGUAGAAAAUUACGGUAUAAUUAUAGUAAUUUUUUAUUUCUAUGAAAAAAUAAAAUAAUUAAUUCUGGAAUAAUUUCUUUCCAACCAAACGACCCCUUAAUUUUUUAUAACUCCUAUUAUAACUUCAAUUUUCAAAUUUUAUUUUUCCCUAGUAAGUUUUCAACAAAGCAUAAAGAAAGACUUCCUUGGGAGCCAAAAACUGAACUAGUUGUAAUACAGGGGAAAAACGAGUAUUCUUUCCGACAGAUGAGAGGUAUUGGCAAAAGGCGUUAUUGAGGAAUAGCAGAAGGUAACUCGCGCCAAGUACGGACUCUAUAUGUGCAAAGACACACGUUUGGAUCAGUCCUAUUAAUUGCUGCAGCCUGCAGGGAUAAUUAUACAAGCCUUAUGCCGGCGUAAGCAUUCACCAGUCUUUUUCUUUUGAUUUGGCAGUCGAAAAGAAAGUGUGAGGUUUAUUUUGCCUAAGAAAGUGGGGGAUUUUGUUGCAACGGGAACAAUGGAAGAGAGCUGUCUUAUUAGCAAUAUAGGUCUAUUACUUGUUGGAAAUUGAAAUGAAGAUGCAGUGAUCAAGGUGAAAAUUAUUGCAGUAGAGUAAGAAAGAAAGAAUGACCCUUUUAAUAAGGGACCUCAAAACUGCCAAAGCAAU